rnacentral:misc_RNA from 1 species
UUUCCGUAGGUGAACCUGCGGAAGGAUCAUUUAUAAUCAGUGUUUUAUGGCACUUUUUAAACAAUCCAUAUCCACCUUGUGUGCAACGUUAUGAGACCCUCCAUCGUUAUCUUUUAGGUUACGGAAGAGUGAACCUCUACAACUUACCAACAUCACCUUUAACUUAUUUAUCUGAAACUUUGUUAUCAUGAACUAACUUAAUCCGAAAAUACAACUUUCAACAACGGAUCUCUUGGCUCUCGCAUCGAUGAAGAACGCAGC